AAUCAAUGCAUAGGACAUUUUUUGCAACAAAUCUUUGAAUCUCUCCCAUGCCUCAUACAAAUUCUUAUCUUCUAGUUGCUUGAAAUAUUUCAAGUCAUUUCGCAGCUU